UGAGGAGCUUGAUGCUGCUAGUUUGCGAGAGCAUGAAGAAUUCACAAAAGUUAAGAACAUUGCUACAAUAGAACUUGGAAGAUAUGAGAUUGAAACGUGGUACUUCUCCCCAUUUCCUCCAGAAUACAAUGACUGUUCGAAACUGUUCUUUUGUGAGUUUUGUCUCAAUUUCAUGAAGCGCAAAGAACAGCUUCAGAGGCACAUGAGAAAAUGCGAUCUUAAGCAUCCCCCAGGUGAUGAGAUCUACAGAAGUGGUACAUUGUCAAUGUUUG
rnacentral:misc_RNA from 1 species